AUCGAACGCUGGCGGCAGGCCUAACACAUGCAAGUCGAGCGGAUGAAGAGAGCUUGCUCUCUGAUUUAGCGGCGGACGGGUGAGUAAUGACUAGGAAUCUGCCUGGUAGUGGGGGAUAACGUUCCGAAAGGAACGCUAAUACCGCAUACGUCCUACGGGAGAAAGCAGGGGACCUUCGGGCCUUGCGCUAUCAGAUGAGCCUAGGUCGGAUUAGCUAGUUGGUGAGGUAAUGGCUCACCAAGGCGACGAUCCGUAACUGGUCUGAGAGGAUGAUCAGUCACACUGGAACUGAGACACGGUCCAGACUCCUACGGGAGGCAGCAGUGGGGAAUAUUGGACAAUGGGCGAAAGCCUGAUCCAGCCAUGCCGCGUGUGUGAAGAAGGUCUUCGGAUUGUAAAGCACUUUAAGUUGGGAGGAAGGGUUGUAGAUUAAUACUCUGCAAUUUUGACGUUACCAACAGAAUAAGCACCGGCUAACUUCGUGCCAGCCGCCGCAGUAAGAC
rnacentral:rRNA from 1 species